ensembl:snRNA U1 U1 spliceosomal RNA
AUAAUUCCCUGGAAGGGGAGACACUGUGAUCAGGAAAGCAGUUUUUCCAAGGUGAAGCUCAGCCAUUUUUAUAGUGGCCAGGCUGACCCCUGCAGUUUCUUUACCUGCAGGAAACUUGACUGCACAAUUUGUGGUAGUGAGGGGUACAUUCAUGCAAAACA